CCUACGGGAGGCAGCAGUGGGGAAUAUUGCACAAUGGGGGAAACCCUGAUGCAGCGACGCCGCGUGAGGGAGGAAGUAUCUCGGUACGUAAAGCUCUAUCAGCAGGGAAGAAAAUGACGGUACCUGACUAAGACUCCCCGGCUUACUACGUGCCAGCAGCCGCGGUCCUACGUAGGGGGCAAGCGUUAUCCGGAUUUACUGGGUGUAAGGGGAUCGUAGACGGCAGCACAAGUCUGGAGUGAAAUCCCGGGGCUUAACCCCGGAACUGCUUUGGAAACUGUGCGGCUGGAGUGCAGGAGGGGUAAGCGGAAUGCCUAGUGUAGCGGUGAAAUGCGUAGAUAUUAGGAGGAACACCGGUGGCGAAGGCGGCUUACUGGAUCGUAACUGACGUUGAGGCUCGAAAGCGUGGGGAGCAAACAGGAUUAGAUACCCUUGUAGUC
rnacentral:rRNA from 1 species